rnacentral:rRNA from 1 species
UCUCAGCACGGCGAGUGAAGCGGGAACAGCUCAAAUUUGAAAUCUGGCCCCCUCUGGGGGCCCGAGGUGUAAUUUGAAGAGGAUGCUUUUGGCGAGGCGCCUUCCGAGUGCCCUGGAACGGGACGCCACAGAGGGUGAGAGCCCCGUAUGGUAGGACGCCGAGCCUCUGUAAAGCUCCUUCGACGAGUCGAGUAGUUUGGGAAUGCUGCUCAAAAUGGGAGGUAAACCCCUUCUAAAGCUAAAUAUUGGCCAGAGACCGAUAGCGCACAAGUAGAGUGAUCGAAAGAUGAAAAGCACUUUGAAAAGAGAGUUAAACAGCACGUGAAAUUGUUGAAAGGGAAGCGCUUGCGACCAGACUUGCGCCCGUCGGAUCAACCGUCCCUCGUGGGCGGCGCACUCCGGCGGGCUCAGGCCAGCAUCAGUUUUCCUGGGGGGAGAAAGGCGGUGGGAAUGUAGCUCUUCGGAGUGUUAUAGCCCGCCGCGUAAUACCCCCGGGGGGACUGAGGACCGCGCGAAAGCAAGGAUGCUGGCGUAAUGGUCGUCAGCGACCCGUCUUGAAACACGGACCAAGGAGUCGUCCUAAUAUGCGAGUGUACGGGUGUAAAACCCCUGCGCGUAAUGAAAGUGAACGGAGGUGAGAGCUUCGGCGCAUCAUCGACCGAUCCUGAUGUUCUCGGAUGGAUUUGAGUAAGAGCAUAUUGGGCCGGACCCGAAAGAAGGUGAACUAUGCCUGUAUAGGGUGAAGCCAGAGGAAACUCUGGUGGAGGCUCGCAGCGGGUUCUGACGUGCAAAUCGAAUCGUCAAAUAUGGGGCAUGGGUGGGCGAAAGACUAAUUCGAACCCUUACUAGUAGCUGGCUUGCGCUGA